UCGACAUCUUUUCACUACGAUUCCGAGCAUUGUAAUUAUCAGAACAUAAACCCCGUUUAGAGUUGUUUCCAAAAUACCCAAUUCAUUUAACCAUUAGGAAGGCCAAGCCAGUUUAUCAAGGCCUAUCAUUCAACCCAAGCGCAUAUGCAUCUUUAUAAAAAAAAAAUUCAAAUCAAAAUGGACAAACAAAACAAACAAAGCAGCUAAGGAAAAAUUAUCACAAAAAUGCAGCUAUGGUUCGACCUACAACAAAAGUUAGAAGGAAUUCACCAGCUAUUCGUGGUUAAAGAAAUUAUCGUACAACCACAAUUUCUAAUUGACAAGAGUAUCCAUGUAUUUGUUUGCAACAUAUUGACACCCACCAACCAUUUUGGGGGAAUGAAUACUUCACUGGAAUGUAUUAUACAUGGUAAGAAAUGAAAUCAAAAUAAUAUAAACGAAUGGAUAAAUAAAAAAUGAUGUUUGAGCCACAACGUACUAAACAAAUUGAUGAAUUGGAGCAGGAAACUACAAGGAAAAUCACUAAUUACAAACUGAAACAAUUUAAUAUAUCAAAGCAUUAUUUUAGCAAAUAUUUGGAAUAGCUUCAUUCCCACUUAACGGAUUUGUUUUGCCUUGCUGCAAAUCCAUGACCAUUGGAAAAUCCUCGGCUUCGGAACUUUUUUAAAUCACAUUAACAAACAAUCAACUCAAACCAUUUAAAACCUAACAUCAACCUCUAGCUAGUUACGAAGACACAAUUAACAUCAGCAACGAAACAUGUUUAAGUGCUAUACAAAUCAGGCUAAGUCAUAGGGAAAAAGAACGAAAACAAAAGCAACCACUUGAGUUAUAUCACUUUUAGACGGGUAAAGACACGAAAAUCAAAUCCCUCAAUGCAUCGAAAAACCAAUGAAAUAAACAUUUUUAAACCGUCAAGGUUUACGGAAUAAUGACAAACACUCAACAGAUGUCUUAAAAAAAACCUUCCAAGAGUGAGAACACCUUCAGGAUAAUCUUACAAAUUCAGAGUGGCAAUGUAUUAAAGCUUAAAUCGUUAUUCAGAAACACACCAAUGAUUGAAUCAAAACACCAUUUUCAGUCUUGGAAAUUUCAAAUAUCAUUGAAUAAUAUCAAUCAUGCAAGCACAACAGUAAGAACAAAACAACAUUCAAGAUUCUCAUACCAAUUGUGAGGAAAGAAACAGUAAGCAAUAAUGCGACCUGAACGCUAUUAUCACUACAAAAUUCAUGAAUCAUUUCAAUUAUUUCAGGAUGACAACGAGAUCACAAAAUCUUCAUCAUAUAAAACCUAUGGCCUGCCAAGCCUCGUACAACAGUUAAUUCCCAGCACAAAGAUUAUCGCAAAUAUCGUUAUAUCUAUAGAAUGGUGAGAUGAAGCAGAAAUGAACGAAACUAAAUGGAAUGGGGAGUUACCUAUUUUGUGGCAGCAAAACAAGACUUUCAAGCUAAUAUCAAAUUUCAAUACUACCGGAGAUCGACUUCUCUAGAGUUUCGAGCAAUUCGAUGACUAGCCCUCUCGACCAAUUUUCAGCCCUCAAGAUUUCUAGCAAUUUUUCCUGACCCCCUCGAUUUUCUAUCAAUUUUUUCCCAACCCUCAAUUUCAAAUUCUGAAGGGAAAAAAGAGGAGAGUAAAAAAAUCAAUCCCUUAGCUUUUUUGAAUCCCUAAUUUCCAACCCAAACUUUUGAACUCUCCCAUCACCAACCUACUUUUCGAAACCCCAGGAUUUUUCCCCCUCUCAAAUAGUGAACCAAUCGGUUCUUAUAUAGAAGACCGAAUGAGGGGUCAUUUUGGGAUUUGAAAAGAGAAUAUUUUUGAAUUUUUGGGUUUUGGAUAAGAUUUCCCGUUCAAUAUCGGUACCAAUUUGGAAUUUUUCUCCAACAAUUCAAAAUAAUUAACCAAUAAGGGAUGAGGAAUCGAAAUUCCCUCAUGAACCAAUCAAAAAUCACCAAAAAUAUACGAAUUCGUACCGAUUAUUUCGAGAUUUGCGGAGUUGAGCUGUUGGGGGUGACACCUAGCUUGUUUCCAAAAGGUUCAAGACUGAUUUUGAUGGUUCAUAAUCGUGGGUUCGGGUCAGAUUUCGCUGGUGUUGGAGCUGUUUGUUGAUGGAGACGGGUCAAAGCUGGUUCGGAAGGCUGGGUUCACCGAAUUUUUGAUUGGGGGUUAUCGGAUUCGGGUAGUUUUUGACAAUGUUGUACGCAGCUCGUUGUUGCUGUCCUUUAUUUUGGGGAUUUGGCUAAGUGGAGCUUCUGUGUUGAAGGAAAUAGGAGAGUGGGCCGGGUUAAGGCCUAUUUGGGCUAAUUUUUAGGCUUGUUUAAUUGAAAAGUGAGAAAUGGGCUGCUGUUUGAAGAAAAUAUGAAAUGGGCCCAGGUGUUUUGGCAAAAUUGGGUUUAAC
rnacentral:lncRNA from 1 species